rnacentral:rRNA from 1 species
GGACCUGACUGCUAUCGGAUUGAUACUAAGCCAUGCGAGUCAUUGUAGCAAUACAAGGCAUACGGCUCAGUAACGCGUAGUCAACCUAACCUAUGGACGGGAAUAACCUCGGGAAACUGAGAAUAAUGCCCGAUAGAACAUUAUGCCUGGAAUGGUUUAUGUUCCAAAUGAUUUAUCGCCGUAGGAUGGGACUGCGGCCUAUCAGUUUGUUGGUGAGGUAAUGGCCCACCAAGACUAUUACAGGUACGGGCUCUGAGAGGAGUAGCCCGGAGAUGGGUACUGAGACACGGACCCUGUCUCUAUGGGGCGCAGCAGGCGAGAAAACUUUGCAAUGUGCGAAAGCACGACAAGGUUAAUCCGAGUGGUUUCUGCUAAAGAAACCUUUUGUCAGUCCUAGAAACACUGAUGAAUAAGGGGUGGGCAAGUUCUGGUGU